rnacentral:rRNA from 1 species
UUCUUCGGGAUGAAAGUUUUGUGACUGAGUGGCGGACGGGUGAGUAACGCGUGGGUAUCCUGCCUCAUACAGGGGGAUAACAGUUAGAAAUGACUGCUAAUACCGCAUAAGACCACAGGAUUGCAUGAUCCGGUGGUAAAAACUCCGGUGGUAUGAGAUGGACCCGCGUCUGAUUAGCUAGUUGGUAAGGUAACGGCUUACCAAGGCGACGAUCAGUAGCCGACCUGAGAGGGUGACCGGCCACAUUGGGACUGAGACACGGCCCAAACUCCUACGGGAGGCAGCAGUGGGGAAUAUUGCACAAUGGGGGAAACCCUGAUGCAGCGACGCCGCGUGAGCGAUGAAGUAUUUCGGUAUGUAAAGCUCUAUCAGCAGGGAAGAAAAUGACGGUACCUGACUAAGAAGCACCGGCUAAAUACGUGCCAGCAGCCGCGGUAAUACGUAUGGUGCAAGCGUUAUCCGGAUUUACUGGGUGUAAAGGGAGCGUAGACGGAGUGGCAAGUCUGAUGUGAAAACCCGGGGCUCAACCCCGGGACUGCAUUGGAAACUGUCAAUCUAGAGUACCGGAGAGGUAAGCGGAAUUCCUAGUGUAGCGGUGAAAUGCGUAGAUAUUAGGAGGAACACCAGUGG